AGCGAACGCUGGCGGCAGGCCUAAUACAUGCAAGUCGAACGGAUCCUUCGGGAUUAGUGGCGGACGGGUGAGUAACACGUGGGAACGUGCCCUUUGGUUCGGAACAACUCAGGGAAACUUGAGCUAAUACCGGAUAAGCCCUUCGGGGAAGGAUUAUCGCCAUUGGAGCGGCCCGCGCCUGAUUAGCUAGUUGGUGGGGUAAAGGACCUACCAAGGCGACGAUCAGUAGCUGGUCUGAGAGGAUGAUCAGCCACCACUGGGACGUGAGACACGGCCCAGACUCCUACGGGAGGGCAGCAGUAGGGAAUCUUGCGCAAUGGGCGGAAAGCCUGACGCAGCCAUGCCGCGUGAAU
rnacentral:rRNA from 1 species